CCAAGAAAUUACUCAGCAAGGUUAUUUCUACACACUAAGCUUGCAGUUCAUGUGUAAUCCCACAGAAAUCUGUGGGUUUUGCCCUUCCACAGACUUGCAUUUGAAUGCUUCACUGGAGGACAAAGAAUGCAAGCAUCAUUCAGCAAAUGGUUCACAAGCCCUCUUCAACAGCUCCCACACCAUCAGCACAAAAUGCCUCUGCCAGCUAAAUAAAACUCUCAGAUAUUUCCAGUUGUUACCUAUGACACCUGCCUGGGGCACUUAAAAGGAAUGACUAAGCCAGGAUGACCUUUUCAGACAGAACACCUGUGGAUUCACCUAAGACUGGAAUUAAUUUUGAAAAAGCACUGAACAGCCAAAGGGCUGAUGGCCCCAGCUUGGCAAUAUUUCUGCAGUCUUCUGGGUGUAGUGAGUCCAAGCCUUACAAAAAAGACAACACUGGGAUCCAGAUUUCAGAAACUUCAGCCUCUGCUACAGUCGUGCAGUGUUACAACCACAGAAAGCACGUAAGAA